rnacentral:rRNA from 1 species
GACGUAGGGGGCAAGCGUUAUUCGGAAUUAUUGGGCGUAAAGCGCUCGUAGGCGGGACUGGAAGUCCGUGUUGAAAGACCUCGGCUCAACUGAGGGACCGGCUCGGAUACUCUAGUUCUUGAGGCAAUCAGAGGGUGAUGGAAUUCCCGGUGUAGCGGUGAAAUGCGUAGAUAUCGGAAGGAACACCAGUGGCGAAGGCGAUCACCUGGGGUUGUUCUGACGCUGAGGAGCGAAAGCUAGGGGAGCAAACGGG